UUGAAUUAUAGGCUAAUUUCUCAGCUAUUUAUCCCGUUAUUCUCAAAGCUCUAUGAUGGCUGUAGUAUCUGCGACCUCUAACGGCGCAGAUGAAAACCCCGUUGAGAUAAAAGAGGACAAAAAAGGAUGGUUAUCCAAGCGCACUCAUUUUACGCACCGGUGGAAACGCGCAUGGUUUCAGUUGAAAGAAACUCUACUGUUGUAUGGUGAAAAUGAAGAGAAGCUUCUGAAGCCCAUCAACCUGGUUGGGGCAGUGGUAGAGGUUGUUGAAGGAGGCGACGGAUCAUUCGAAUGGACUAUUACUCCUAAGGACAGGAAGCGGACCUUCUUCCUCCGGGCUGGCACCAUAGCAGAACAGCAGGGAUGGAUGGAGGCUAUAUGUGAAGCACAGCUGAGCUCCAGGGACCAUGCUACUAAUGCAUGUGUGGUGCAAUAGAUUAUCACUUAUUGGAUUUUACAUACCCUGAACAAAAAUAUAAAAGCAACAUGUAAAGUGUUUCAUGAGCUGAAAUAAAAGACCCCAGAAAUGUUC